UUCAAAUUCUAUUUCAUUUUUUUUGAAAGCAUAAUCGUGAUCCAACCUUUCUGUAAUUUCUUUCAAAUUCUAUUUCAAUUUUUUUGAAAGCAGAAUCGAGAUCCAACCUUUCUGUAAUUUCUUUCAAAUUCUAUUUCAAUUUUUUUGUGUUGUCUUUAAUUUUUAAUUGUUGAUGGUUUAUUUAUAUCAGCUAAAUCUCACAGAGUUGUUCACUCUUUGACAGUCACACGCAAUUGCGAAAAAAAAUCAUUCUAGCAAAAUGAGAGAUACGACUUACAAUUUGCAAAAUUGAUUGAGUUCAAAAGUUCUGCUUAGCAGUCGUCAUCAUAUGACCAAUGGUCGCAUGAGUGCGAAAGUUUUAUAUAAAAGUUCUUCAAUCAAGUCGUCAUCAUAUGACCAAAGGUCGCAUGAGUGCAAAAAUCAAGACUACCAGCACUGUUAUUUCUUUUUAAGUUCUAUUUCUAUUAUUUUUUACCCAACCACUCAAAUUUCUUUCAAAUUCUAUUUCAAUUUUUUUUGCAAAGGCGAUUUAAUAACUAAGGCUUUCUUAGCGUGAUAUUAUCACUACGGAAUAUUAUUUUUUUUAUUGUUUAAGUUCUAUUUCUAUUAUUUUUACGAAACAAGAUAAAACAUCCAAUCCACGGUAACUUCUCAAUAUUUUCUAUUUCCUAUUCGUAUCAGAACAAGCCAAUCACUUGAGUUUCUCAAUAUUUUCUAUUUCCUAUUAAUAUGCGGUAAUCAGUUCUACCAACCUGACUGUUAUUUCUUUCAAAUUCUAUUUCAUUUUUUUUUUGAAAGCAUAAUCGUGAUCCAACCUUUCUGUAAUUUCUUUCAAAUUCUAUUUAAAUUUUUUUGAAAGCAGAAUCGAGAUCCAACCUUUCUGUAAUUUCUUUCAAAUUCUAUUUCAAUUUUUUUGUGUUGUCUUUAAUUUUUAAUUGUUGAUGGUUUAUUUAUAUCAGCUAAAUCUCACAGAGUUGUUCACUCUUUGACAGUCACACGCAAUUGCGAAAAAAAAAAUCAUUCUAGCAAAUGAGAGAUACGACUUACAAUUUGCAAAAUUGAUUGAGUUCAAAGGUUCUGCUUAGCAGUCGUCAUCAUAUGACCAAAGGUCGCAUGAGUGCAAAAAUCAAGACUACCAGCACUGUUAUUUCUUUUUAAGUUCUAUUUCUAUUAUUUUGGCAAAAUUAAAUGGACCCAACCACUCAAAUUUCUUUCAAAUUCUAUUUCAAUUUUUUUUUUUGCAAAAGCGAUUUAAUAACUAAGGCUUUCUUAGCGUGAUAUUAUCACUACGGAAUAUUAUUUUUGAGACUAACGAAGUCUUUUCAUCGCGUGAUAUUAUCACUACGGAAUAUUAUUUUUGAGUUUAACAAAGUAUUUUUAGUACGUGAUAUUAUCACUACGGAAUAUUAUUUUUAAGGAAUGAUUCUAAAUUUUAGAAGUCGUCAUCAUAUGACCAAAGGUCGCAUGAGUGCGAAAUAACCUAAACGUAUAGAAACAAACCACUAAAAUUUCUUUCAAAUUCUAUUUCAUUUUUUUUACAAAGAGAAUCUAUUACAGAAUUUCUCGGAUCGUGAUAUUAUCACUACGGAAUAUUAUUUUUAUUAAAAAAAUACCAACGUUUCUGUAAUUUCACAAUAUUACAAUAUGCAUUACAAAUUUACGAUUUGUUAAAGUCUGCACGAUCAUACGAAGAAAAAAGAAACAAAUGCUUGAGGAUUUAUCUUCUUGCUAACAAAAGUGUCUAAUUUAACCGUUAUAUUAUCACUACGGAAUAUUAUUUUUGCGAUAAUAGUCUUGAUGUCUAAGACAACACACUGUAAUUUCUUUCAAAUUCUAUUUCAAUUUUUUUUUGAAACCCUGUUAAACAAAAUGAUUCUACAAAGAAGAAUGUAAAACUUUUGUAAACUAGUUUAAGAUGAUAAUAAAAGAUUAAAUAAAAUCAAA